UCCCGGGUCGUCUAACGGCAGGACAGGGCAUUUUGGUUGCUCUAAUGAGGGUUCGAUUCCUUCCCCGGGAG
rnacentral:tRNA from 1 species